rnacentral:lncRNA from 1 species
GCAAGAAUAAAAUGACCAGAUUGAAUUAAGUAUUAUGCCUCCCUAUUAUCUUUAGACUAUGCGAAUGGUAUUGAAAAGUAAGAGGCGUGUCAGCGUUUUGAAGUCAGAUCUACAGGCCAUCAUCAAUCAAGGCACUUUGGCUACUUCUAAGAAAGCCCUGGCAAGUGACCGGAGUGGCGCAGAUGAACUGGAGAACAACCCAGAGAUGAAAUGUUUAAGAAACUUAAUUUCUUUGCUGGGAACAUCAACAGAUCUCAGGGUAUUCCUCAGCUGUCUGUCUUCACAUCUCCAAGCAUUUGUGUUCCAG